AUCUGAGCAAAGGCAGAGGGGCUCAUCAGAGAAGCCGAAGGAGCGCCCAGGACGCCUGCCACCAAGGGCCACGCCGCCCCACGCAGGCCUCCCAGCCGGGGCCGCGCACAUCAUGACCCCAGGGCCCGUUCACUCCUAGGGACGUGGCGGCAGAGGCCAAGGGGGACAGCCAGGCAACACCGCCCAACGCAUCCCAGGAAGGGGUGAGAAGGGGCAUCUGUGCCCUGGAGAUCACCCCGGAGGGACCCUGUUUACUGGCAAAAGGAGGUCUUAACCCGAUGUCUCCCUUCGGGACAAAGUGCACGGGUAGGCGUCAAAUGAAGGGAGUGGCAUGACACGGGAAAGACCCGAAGCCUGGAGCGCCAGGCCUGGGUUCAAAUCCCAGCCGCGCCUCUCGGGACAAGUCACUUAGCCUCACUGAGCCUCAGUUUCCUCACUGAGAUGUGCCAGGGUCUAUGAGGACUAACGGGGGCCAGGGAAGCACGCUGGACAGUAAGAUGAUCCGCGCAAACGGCAGCGGUUACUUUGGGGGCAAGCAGAAGGAAGUGAGUUCACACCCCCACCCCAUCUGCCAAACCCAAGUGAGGCCCCCGUCCCUUGCCCCCUAAAGCAGCCAAGUUUCUGACUGCACCGAGGCCCGGGAAAGGGAGGGAAGGCCGGAGCUGCCACGGAGCCGAGCACAGCUUCCCCAGCGUGGGGACAGACCGCGGCCACCACACCUCGCGGCAGGCAAAGCAGGAUGUGAGGCGGGAGAGAACGCGCGCCCAGGAGGGGGAAGCCGCGAGCUGAGCACUGGGGGAGCCUGGGGCCCGCAAACAGAGCCGCUGUCCCAGAAGUUAUCCCUGCACCGCCCCCCCAGCCCCCAGCCCUGGCAUCUUCCCCGACACACAGUCAGCCCUAUCCCACAGAACUUUUUUCACUGAUGGAAAUGCUGACUCUCGGCAUGCCCACAGGGGGUCCACCAGCCACCAGUAACUCCUGGGCCACCUGAAAAGCGGCUCUUGUCACUAAGGACCUGAAGUCCCGGUUAUAUUUAAUUGUAACUGAUUUAAACGUAAAGAACCACAUGACUAUCAUAAUGGGCAGUGCAGUUCUAGAACACUCUUUCCUUCCUGAAACUCUCUGCUGAAGGCGGAGAGCACUUCCCUGGGGGGCUCUGGUCCCUGCUAUCACCUUCCUCCAAGCAAACCCCCUGGUCCCCAGUGGAAGGGCCUGGAGCAGCGGGCUUGCCAAAAACCCAUUGGGCGUGAGGCCUGGGCACAGGGUGGUGGUGGCUUUUCAGGAACAAUGCUGACUUCUGGAAACACCCCUCGCCCCCCCACACCCCGCAAGAGGAAGGGGAAGUCCCCUGGGGCCUCCCUGCAUGGAAAUGGUAAAAUUCUUCAGUAGUGGUUCUUGGCUUCUAGGAGUGGGGCUCGGGGGUCAGAAACACCUGUGAUAAUCUAAGGAGAAGCACGGACGUCCGACCCCAGAAACUACACAGAGAUGCUCGUCCUCCUCUGGGGGUUGGGAGGGGUCACAAGCCCCAGAUUGGAAACCUCUGCUCUGAGAGCCCAGUUCCUUCCCGGAAGAAAGCUGGGGCAGGCGGCUAUCCUACAAACUCCUACUUCUCUUGCCGUUUUCCUGGGCAAAGAAGAGCAGCAAAUGAACACCCCAGAAGUGUCCGCACCAUCAACCGUGGUGCAGAGGCCGGACCAGGCAUCUGAUUCCAGGGUCACAGCCAGGGCAAGAACAGUGGUCAUAAGAAUCUUCCCUUCAAGGCUCCCGCUCCUCUCUGGGCCUUCGCCUUCUGAGAAGUUAAACCUGUCCCCCUCAGGCCACUGGCCCCCCCAAGGCGUGUUUAUAUGAACUAUAAAGUGCCUCCCCUCCCCCGCCACCUCCUCCUCCUCCUCCUCCCCCUCCCCCUCCCCCUCCGGGGAGGCCUCGGGUUCUCAUGAAACAGGACGUGGCACAGGAUGGACAGCAGACCCAGGUUUGAAUCCCGGCUCUGCCACUGACCAGCGCUGUGACCAUCAGCCAGUUACUUCUCUCCAGCCUCACUGAUGCUAAAUGACAGCAGUAAGACAGCUGCCUCCCCGGAUGCCCUGGGGACAAAACAGUCAGACUUCCUUACCCUGGAUCUCUCUGAACGGUUCAGGGCGGGAGGAACGUUCAGCAUCACUCACUAAGGCUCACAUCUCUCCAGGCAUCACCCAAACCCACCGCCACAGUUACCAAAUUUGCAGAUUCCUGGGCCUCGGUCCAGACCUACAGAAUCAGCAUCUCUGGGGGUGCAGCCCAGGAAUCUGCAUUCUCCAAAGCACCCAGCCUAGUCAGGUCUGGAGAAAGCUGGAGCCCCCAAGCAGCCAGGCAGAAGGAGAGCAGGUGCGAGGAGCAGGCGGGACGGGAGGACACAGACAGGACAACAGAGGAGAAAGGAGACCAGGAAAUAGACCCCCGCUUUAUUGGCUUUCCACGAUGUCACUACGCCACCGUGGCAAAUUUCAAACCACUAGUGUGACGUCGCUGAAUGCGGAGUCGGAAAGAGCGUGCAAUUGGUUCCUAGUUCUCGUGAGCUAGGAAGAGCGGACUCUGGCACACCGCUGCAGGAAGGAGUGGGCAAACAGAGCAAGGGACGGACGGACGGACGGACGGACGGAGGGCCGGUGGGCAUCUGGAUGGAAGGAGGGGUGGCUGACUAGCUUACACGCCACCUGGGAAGACGGAUGGAUGGAGAGACAAACACAGACAUUCAAACGCGUGAGCUGUGUGAGCAACACUGACAUCCGGUGAAGCAUUCAGAACGCCAAGAAGGUACUACUUCCAGAGUAGACCAGGAAACGGACCAUGAGCAGGAGCGCUGGAGGCAGGCGGGCCUGGGUUUAAGUCGCCACCCCCGGCUCACUAGCUGGAAUAGUGUCUUCACCUCUCGGAGGGACACCUUCCUCACUGGGAAAGUGGCCCGGAUGAUAACCACUUCACAGAGUUACUGAGAAGAUGGAAUGGGAAAUACAUGUAGACCCCAAGACUUAGCAAGCGCUCAAAACAUGGAAGCUAGUAUUACACUAUCUUUCAGAUUAUAAGUGCUCAAUAUUUGUUGAAUGGGUGGAUAGUUGGUAGGAUGGAUGGAUGGAUGGAAGGAUGGAUGGAUGGAUGGAUGGAUGGAUGGAUGGAUGGAUGGAUGGAAGGAUGGAUGGAUGGAUGGAUGGAUGGAUGGAUGGAUGGAUGGAAGGAUGGAUGGACGGAUGAACGGAUGGAUGGAUGGAUGGUUGGAUGGAGGGAGAAAUGCAGGGAUGGAUGGAUGGAUGGAUGGAUGGAUGGAUGGAUGGAUGGAUGGAUGGAUGGUUGGAUGGAGGGAGAAAUGCAGGGAUGGAUGGAUGGAUGGAUGGAUGGAUGGAUGGAUGGAUGGAUGAACGGAUGGAUGGAUGGAUGGUUGGAUGGAGGGAGAAAUGCAGGGAUGGAUGGAUGGAUGGAUGGAUGGAUG